rnacentral:rRNA from 1 species
UACAGAGGGUGCGAGCGUUGUUCGGAAUUAUUGGGCGUAAAGAGCUCGUAGGCGGUUUGUCGCGUCUGCUGUGAAAACCCGAGGCUCAACCUCGGGCCUGCAGUGGAUACGGGCAGACUAGAGGUAGGUAGGGGAGAAUGGAAUUCCCGGUGUAGCGGUGAAAUGCGCAGAUAUCGGGAGGAACACCGGUGGCGAAGGCGGUUCUCUGGGCCUUACCUGACGCUGAGGAGCGAAAGCGUGGGGAGCGAACAGG